UACGAAGGGUGCAAGCGUUAAUCGGAAUUACUGGGCGUAAAGGGUGCGUAGGCGGUUCGUUAAGUCUGUCGUGAAAUCCCCCGGCUCAACCGGGGAAGGGGCGUGGAUACGGCCGGGCUGGAGGGGGGUAGGGGGAGCCGGAACUUCCGGUGGAGCGGUGAAAUGCGUUGAGAUCGGAAGGAACGCCCGUGGCGAAAGCGGGCUCCUGGACCCCACCUGACGCUGAGACGCGAAAGCCAGGGGAGCGAACGGG
rnacentral:rRNA from 1 species